AUAUAUAGCCAUACCACCCUGAACUCACCCAAUCUUGUCUGAUCUUGAAAGCUAAGCAGGGUCAGACUUGGUUAGUACAAGGAGAUACCACAAGGUCAAUGAAAU
rnacentral:rRNA from 1 species